GGUGAGUAACACGUGGGCAACCUGCCUGUAAGACUGGGAUAACUUCGGGAAACCGAAGCUAAUACCGGAUAGGAUCUUCUCCUUCAUGGGAGAUGAUUGAAAGAUGGUUUCGGCUAUCACUUACAGAUGGGCCCGCGGUGCAUUAGCUAGUUGGUGAGGUAACGGCUCACCAAGGCAACGAUGCAUAGCCGACCUGAGAGGGUGAUCGGCCACACUGGGACUGAGACACGGCCCAGACUCCUACGGGAGGCAGCAGUAGGGAAUCUUCCGCAAUGGACGAAAGUCUGACGGAGCAACGCCGCGUGAGUGAUGAAGGCUUUCGGGUCGUAAAACUCUGUUGUUAGGGAAGAACAAGUACAAGAGUAACUGCUUGUACCUUGACGGUACCUAACCAGAAAGCCACGGCUAACUACGUGCCAGCAGCCGCGGUAAUACGUAGGUGGCAAGCGUUAUCCGGAAUUAUUGGGCGUAAAGC
rnacentral:rRNA from 1 species